GAUGAACGCUAGCGAUAGGCUUAACACAUGCAAGUCGAGGGGCAGCGAGGGUAGCAAUACCUGUCGGCGACCGGCGCACGGGUGAGUAACGCGUAUGUAACCUGCCCGCAACAGGGGGAUAACCCGGCGAAAGUCGGACUAAUACCGCAUAAAACAGGGGUCCCGCAUGGGAAUAUUUGUUAAAGAUUUAUCGGUUGCGGAUGGGCAUGCGUACCAUUAGGUAGUUGGUGAGGUAACGGCUCACCAAGCCUUCGAUGGUUAGGGGUUCUGAGAGGAAGGUCCCCGACACUGGUACUGAGACACGGACCAGACUCCUACGGGAGGCAGCAGUGAGGAAUAUUGGUCAAUGGGCGAGAGCCUGAACCAGCCAAGUCGCGUGAAGGAUGACUGCCCUAUGGGUUGUAAACUUCUUUUACAAGGGAAUAAAAUGAGAUACGUGUAUUUUAUUGAAUGUACCUGGGGAAUAAGCAUCGGCUAACUCCGUG
rnacentral:rRNA from 1 species